GACGAACGCUGGCGGCGUGCUUAACACAUGCAAGUCGAACGGUAAGGCCCUUCGGGGUACACGAGUGGCGAACGGGUGAGUAACACGUGGGUGAUCUGCCCUGCACUUCGGGAUAAGCCUGGGAAACUGGGUCUAAUACCGGAUAGGACCACUGCCUGCAUGGGGGGUGGUGGAAAGCUUGUGCGGUGUGGGAUGGGCCCGCGGCCUAGCAGAUUGUUGGUGGGGUGAUGGCCUACCAAGGCGACGACGGGUAGCCGGCCUGAGAGGGUGACCGGACACACAGGGACUGCGGUACGGCCCAGACGCCUACGGGAGGCAGCAGUGGGGAAUAUUGCACGAUGGGCGCAAGGCUGAUGCAGCGACGCCGCGUGAGGGAUGACGGCCUUCGGGUUGUAAACCUCUUUCAGCACCGACGAAGCGCAAGUGACGGUAGGUGCAGAAGAAGGACCGGCCAACUACGUGCCAGCCGCCGCCGUAA
rnacentral:rRNA from 1 species